CAGAGCUGGCUUUACCCCUGUGGAUGCUACUGAAGAGUGCUGACUUGCGAGCAGACCAGAUACAGAGAGGUGAAAUGGGGAAAACCACUCUUCCAGCCCUCCCACUGCCUGUCUGCAGCUGGAAUGUACUUACUUCUGGACUGUUGCUGGAUUUGAAGAUGUCGUUGAUGGGGUCAUCGGAAUCCGCUUCCCAGUGAAAAAGACAUCAACAAAGUGAAAAUUACUGGAGAAGGAAGUGGAGAAUUACUCUCCAUCUUUUGAGGACAGAAGAGAAACAACUCCUGAGAUCAUAAUAAAGUAUCCACAAUGUAGGAAUUCCUUAUUCAGCAAGCUGCGCAGGCCUGGCUGAUGGUUUUAAAUGCUUGGAGUUGGCAGUUCUGAGUCCUGAUUUGAGCCAUUCCCUUUUCCAAAGAGACUGCAAGCCGUCAAAAGACAAAAGAUAAGCCUGUGGCCAUAUGGUGGAAUAUUUCCAGAUCCAAAUCAGCCAGGAAAAAAGUGAGACUACGAGACAAACACCAGAGCUCUCGAGUUUCGUCUGUCCCAGGAUGAAGUGUAAUGUCUCCAGUGAUACAGAACAGCCACAGGUCUGUCAUGCUACUGCACCAGACAGAUGUGAUCGGAGCAUCAUUACUGGACAAGCAAGA